rnacentral:rRNA from 1 species
ACGGGUGAGUAAUACAUCGGAACGUGCCCUGUAGUGGGGGAUAACUAGUCGAAAGAUUAGCUAAUACCGCAUACGACCUGAGGGUGAAAGUGGGGGACCGCAAGGCCUCAUGCUAUAGGAGCGGCCGAUGUCUGAUUAGCUAGUUGGUGAGGUAAAGGCUCACCAAGGCGACGAUCAGUAGCUGGUCUGAGAGGACGAUCAGCCACACUGGGACUGAGACACGGCCCAGACUCCUACGGGAGGCAGCAGUGGGGAAUUUUGGACAAUGGGGGCAACCCUGAUCCAGCAAUGCCGCGUGUGUGAAGAAGGCCUUCGGGUUGUAAAGCACUUUUGUCCGGAAAGAAAUCGCACUUACUAAUAUUAGGUGUGGAUGACGGUACCGGAAGAAUGAGGACCGGCUAACUACGUGCCAGCAGCCGCGGUAAUACGUAGGGUCCAAGCGUUAAUCGGAAUUACUGGGCGUAAAGCGUGCGCAGGCGGUUGUGCAAGACCGAUGUGAAAUCCCCGGGCUUAACCUGGGAAUUGCAUUGGUGACUGCACGGCUAGAGUGUGUCAGAGGGGGGUAGAAUUCCACGU